rnacentral:rRNA from 1 species
GACGAACGCUGGCGGCGUGCUUAACACAUGCAAGUCGAACGAAGUGGCGCACGGGUGAGUAACGCGUAAUCAACCUGCCCUUCAGGGGGGGACAACAGUUGGAAACGACUGCUAAUACCGCAUACUGAAGGAGGGGUUUGCGUCUGAUUAGCUAGUUGGAGGGGUAACGGCCCACCAAGGCGAUGAUCAGUAGCCGGUCUGGGAGGAUGAACGGCCACAUUGGGACUGGGGAACGGGCCAGACUUCUAAGGGGUGCAGCCGUGGGGAAUCUUUCGCAAUGGGCGAAAGUCUGACGGAGCAACGCCGCGGGAGUGAUGACGGCCUUCGGGUUGUAAAGCUCUGUUAAUCGGGACGCGGUACCGGAAUAGAAAGCCACGGCUAACUACGUGCCAGCAGCCGCGGUAAUUC